UAGAUAUUUAUUUCCUAUAUCAUUAGUUGAGUAUCAUUAGCAAAUAGAUAGUUCAAGUUAGAUAUUUAUAUUUUGCCACUUUAGUGUAGUAAUCUUUGACUUUCAUUAUAUGUUCUUGUCCAUUUUAUUGAAGAAAAAAAAAGAGUAAUGCUAUCAAAAUUUAUAAAUUACAUAGUAAUAUUAGCUAUUUUAUAUUUAUGUAUAUGUUAAGAAGUGUGCUCGAUAAGACAUGAGAUAUCAUCAUAUGGUUAGUUAGCGAUAAUCUAUAAUACUUAUUAAAUUAAAAUGUGUGGGACCUGAUAUUUAUAUCAAUAACAAUAUGUCAUCUUUUUGUGGUAAUGGACACCUCUGAUGCAUCUUAGCAUUACUCUUGUGGAAAUAUUGUGGAAAGAGGUCUCUUUUUGUUUUCCGCACAUGGAUGAGUUGUAACUCCAACGAUGUACAUUCUAGUUUUAGGAGACUUUCCACAAAUUAUUGGAAAAUUAUGGAUAAUUUGGUAUGAUUGGUAUAGAAUUUAGGUAUAACUUUAUGAAUUAGAAAACUGAAAAUCUGUAGGGCCAUGAAAAUAAUUGAUUGGUAGCUAGUUUUUCAAAACCAGAUCCAAAUCUAUAUUUGGACUUUAUGUUGUAAAAUAGAAAACGAAUAAAUCCCGUUUUCUUCGUUUUGUGAAAUUUCUUCCUAAAAACCCUAAAAACAAAAUCCAUCUCUUCUCCCCUCCAAUAUUUGCAAAAGACAGAGCUUCUUCAUCUCUCUCCCAUCAAUGGUGAUUCGUUGCCCCUCCUAGCAGCGCCUGAUCCACUCCAACUCCACAUCUACCAUCAGCCACAUAAGGUUUUCCUCUUCCCUGAAGAGUUUAAAAGAAGAAGUCAUCAACCAUUGACAAACCUUAAGCACCUGAAGGUCAAGACUUUCGAAAGCUUGGAAGACGAAUCCAAGUUGAAAGACUCUUUAUAUUGGGCUUCACCUCAUUUGGACACACCACUAAUUGAAGAAGGAACAGAGAGUGAGUUAAUGUUAUUAUAGUUUGCUUUUCUUUAUGUCUUGAAAGAUGUAUAAUUAGAAGAUUGUAGUAUGUGUUGCAUCAAAUGCUGAGUUUUCUUCUUAUUUUUUAUAUUUUGGAAUAAUGUCAAUUGGAUUCUACA